rnacentral:rRNA from 1 species
AGGUAAAAAAUCGGCGUGGUUAGCAGAACGAGUUGGAAAGCUCAGCCGGAGACUGUGAUAGCCAGGUAUGCGAAAACGACGCUGACCUUAUUCUGUAUUCUCGAGUAGGUCGGGGCACGAGAAACCCUGAUUGAAUCCGGCUGGACCACCAGCCAAGGCUAAAUAUAGUAUAUGAUCGAUAGUGAACUAGUACGGUGACGGAAAGGUGAAAAGAACCCCGGGAGGGGAGUGAAAUAGAACCUGAAAUUUUGUGCCUACAAGGAGUCGGAGCCCAGCACCUUUGAAAUCGAGUGGUACAAUGUAGGCGGAUGUUCUACGUGUACGUUUUGCAAAGCGAUCGGGAAUCAGAUCAAAUUUACUUCGGUCAGACUAGUGACUUAAGACGACGUCUCUCGGAGCAUAAUUCUGGCAAGGAUACUUAUACCAAGAUAUAUGCGCCAUGGAAGGUUGUCUAUUAUGAAGCCUAUUCAUCACGUAAGCUAGCAAUGGCCCGUGAGAGGCAGCUGAAAGCUUAUGGACAAGCCAGGACUGCUCUAAAGAAGAGACUAAAUUUGAUCUGAUACUCGAUUUCAAAGGUGCUGGGUGACGGCGUGCUUUUUGUAGAACGAUCCAGCGAGUUAAUUUUUACGGCGAGGUUAAGUCAGAUGACGAAGCCACAGUGAAAGCGAGCAUUAACAGUGCGAUUUAGUCGUAAGGAUUAGACCCGAAACCAGGUGACCUAACCAUGAGCAGGUUGAAGCAACCUUAAUCGGUUGUGGAGGACCGAACCAGUGUAUAUUGCAAAAUGCUUGGAUGACUUGUGGUUAGCGGUGAAAUGCCAAUCGAACUUGGAGAUAGCUGGUUCUCCGCGAAAUAGUUAUAGGACUAGCGUCGUGUGAUAGCUUACGGGGGUAGAGCUCUGUCAAGAGAUAGGGGGAGCAAUCCUACCUACUCUUAAUAAACUACGAAUACCGUAUGUCUGUAUCACGGCAGUUAGAACGUCGGUGCUAAGAUCGGCGCUCAAAAGGGAAACAGCCCAGACCAUCAUCUAAGGUCCCCAAAUUUACGCUAAGUGGGAAACAAGGUGGAAUUUCUUAAACAGCUAGGAUGUUGGCUUAGAAGCAGCCAUUCAUUUAAAGAGUGCGUAACAGCUCACUAGUCAAGAGAUUCUGCGUGGAAGAUAUAACGGGGCUAAGCGUAAUACCGAAGAUAUGGAUUGCAAUUUAUUGCAGUGGUAGCGGAGCGUUCCUAUCGGCAGUGAAGCCAGACUGUUAAGUACUGGUGGAGCGUUAGGAAGUGAGAAUGCUGGAACGAGUAACCAUAAGACAGGUGAGAAUCCUGUCGGCCGAAAGAGCGAGGUUUCCUGGGCUAUGGUAAUCAUCCCAGGGUUAGUCGGGCCUAAGCCGAGGCGUUUAGCGUAGGCGAUGGACAUCAGGUUAAUAUUCCUGAACUAGUCAAACUUUGUAUGCAGUUAGCGAUGAGAUAGGUGGAGCGGAUUCAUGGUUUAUCCGUUCAAGUGAUAGAGGAAUCUUGAUCGAGUAAAAGUGAACCUACGGGUUUACGAUUCCGCUGAAGGCAUUGACCAGAAAAGCUGGCAUACGCAUGGGUUUGGCUACCCGUACCGCAAACCGACACAGGUGCUCGAGUCGAGGAGACUAAGGCUUACGAGAGAAUGAUUGCUAAGGAACUCGGCAAUACAGCGACCGUAACUUCGGAAUAAGGUCUGCCUACAUUUGUAGGCCGCAGCUAAAGAGCCCACGGAACUGUUUAUCAAAAACUCAGGUCUCUGCUAACACGAAAGUGGAUGUAUAGGGGCUGAAACCUGCCCGGUGCCGGAAGGUUAAGGGGAUUGCUUCACGGUGAGAACUGAAGCCCCGGUGAACGGCGGCGGUAACUAUAACCGUCCUAAGGUAGCGAAAUUCCUUGUCAGGUAAGUUCUGACCCGCACGAAUGGUUAAAUCAUGUGGGCACUGUCUCAGCAAUUAUCUCGGUGAAAAUGCAUUGGCGGUAAAGAUGCCGUCUGUCCGCACCAGGACGAAAAGACCCCGUGGAGCUUCACUACAGCUUUACAUUGUUGUGGGUUCUAACUUGUGUAGUAUAGGUGGGAGACUUUGAAGCAGAUACGCUAGUAUCUGUGGAGUCAUCAGUGAAAUACCACCCCCGUUAGGAUCUGCAUCUAACCUGUGCCGUUAUCCGGUAUAGGGACCGUGUAUGGUUGGUAGUUUAACUGGGGCGGUUGCCUCCUAAAGAGUAGCGGAGGCGUUCAAAGGUU